UGUGCUAAGGUAGCGUAAUCAAUUGUUUUUUAAUUGAGAACUAGUAUGAAUGGUUAAACAAAUUAGUCAAGUUUGGUUAGCUUAAUAGAAAAUUAAAGUUAAGGUAAGAAUUCUUUAAUUAUUUAGGGGACGAUAAGACCCUAAAAGCUUUUAAAAAUAAAAAUUAUUAGUAAAAAGGUUAGUUUUUUACUGGGGCGGUAGUAGUAUUUAAUCUAUUGUUAUUUUGGUUGAUCCUUAAUAUAAAGAUAUUGCGGUUGAGUUACUUUAGGGGUAACAGUGUAAUACUUUUGGAUAGGCCAUAUUGAUAAAAKUGUUU
rnacentral:rRNA from 1 species